UACGAAGGAUCCAAGCGUUAUCCGGAUUUAUUGGGUUUAAAGGGUGCGUAGGCGGACUAUUAAGUCAGUGGUGAAAGCCUGCAGCUUAACUGCAGAAUUGCCAUUGAUACUGAUGGUCUUGAGUACAUUUGAGGUGGGCGGAAUGUGUCAUGUAGUGGUGAAAUGCGUAGAGAUCCGGAGGAACGCCGGUGGCGAAAGCGCUCUACUGGACCGCAACUGACACUCAGGUACGAAAGCUAGGGGAGCGAAUGGG
rnacentral:rRNA from 1 species